UGGGGAAUAUUGCACAAUGGGCGCAAGCCUGAUGCAGCCAUGCCGCGUGUAUGAAGAAGGCCCUAGGGUUGUAAAGUACUUUCAGUCGGGAGGAAGGCGUUGAUGCUAAUAUCAUCAACGAUUGACGUUACCGACAGAAGAAGCACCGGCUAACUCCGUGCCAGCAGCCGCGGUAAUACGGAGGGUGCAAGCGUUAAUCGGAAUUACUGGGCGUAAAGCGCACGCAGGCGGUUGAUUAAGUUAGAUGUGAAAUCCCCGGGCUUAACCUGGGAAUGGCAUCUAAGACUGGUCAGCUAGAGUCUUGUAGAGGGGGGUAGAAUUCCAUGUGUAGCGGUGAAAUGCGUAGAGAUGUGGAGGAAUACCGGUGGCGAAGGCGGCCCCCUGGACAAAGACUGACGCUCAGGUGCGAAAGCGUGGGGAGCAAACA
rnacentral:rRNA from 2 species